rnacentral:lncRNA from 1 species
AGUUCGGCCCUCUUCCUGGAGUCGCUCUUCGCCAUUAGAGGUGCGAAUGUGGGCUGGAGUUUAGGAAGAUGCAGGAGAUUGGAGAAGAUGAGAGCGGAUGGUUCGAAGGCAAUGGCAGGCGAAGCGGUACAGGCGGACCUAUUAGGCCCUUAUAAACCCGCGACUCCACCUCUCCCACUUCCUGUAUUCUCGGGAAGUGGGCAGGCCAUGCGGCGGACGCGGCGUUUCGGUUUAUAAUGAUUAUAGACAAUUAAUGCGGCG